rnacentral:rRNA from 1 species
CCUACGUGAGGCAGCAGUGGGGAAUAUUGCACAAUGGGGGAAACCCUGAUGCAGCGACGCCGCGUGAGCGAUGAAGUAUUUAGGUAUGUAAAGCUCUAUCAGCAGGGGAGAAGAUGACGGUACCUGACUAAGAAGCCCCGGCUAACUACGUUCCCGCAGCCGCAGUAAUACGGAGGGGGCCAGCGGUAUCCGGAUUUACUGGGUGUAAAGGGAGCGUAGACGGCGAUGCAAGCCAGAUGUGAAAGCCAGGGGCUCAACCCCGGGACUGCAUUUGGAACUGGGUGGCUGGAGUGUCGGCGAGGCAGGCGGAAUUCCUGGUGUAGCGGUGAAAUGCGUAGAUAUUAGGAGGAACACCAGUGGCGAAGGCGGCCU